UCAAAGAAGAAAGGGGCAUUUGUCACUCCCAUGACAGAAACACUCUAUGUGCGUGCUCUCUAACUUACCAACUUUGCACUAUGUUGUUCCAUUCAUAGAUAACUAAAUAAAGAGUUUAGUUAUUUCCCCAAAUAGUAUAAAUGAUAUAAAAUAUAUUUUGGCAUCAAAAUACAAUGAUUGAGAAGUUAGAUGAGAUGGAGCUUGAGGAGCGCACAGAUGAGGCUGCAAUAAUUAUAUUCAGAGAUGUGCUAGGACGCAAAUCUGGUUAUGCAAGAGGACUUGGUGGUUUAGUUAUACCCGAGCCUAGACCGUCAUCUAUGUCGGCACAAGUUGAGCACCUAACCCAAGAAAAUGAGAAACAUAAAAAUGAGGCAAUGAUGUACAAGACCGAAUUGGAUGACCUGAAAAGGGAAGUACGACAAUUAUUGGUUUGGCAACAAUUGUAUAACCAGAGGAUGAACCUACCUGACAGUGAUUUUGAAAGAGUGUCUAAUAGACACUCUAGAAAAUAUUUAGUUGGAUGGGCUUUUAAACUGGGAUUUUUUGAUAUUUUUCUAACUUUUGCUGGCAAGCACAUAUUUUAUUUAUUAGUUGUCUAGAAAAUGGUGCAGGAUUUUGACGUUAGUUGUACUUGCUGUAUGUUGCUUGGUGGAAUUAUAAAAAGUCCUGGGCUACAAUAUUUUGGUGGGAUUACUUUGUUAAAGGUUAUGAGAAAACUUUGUAGACAUAAGCUCUCAUAUGUUGAUAUCAGCCAAGUGGAAUUUUUUGAUACACCAAUGAGCCUGUUGGAUGCUAAAUAUAUGGAUUCACUCCCAGGUUUAAAUUAAUCUAUAGGGUUUAAAUUAAUGUAUAGCCAUGUUGACAACAAUUCCAAUGAGACGCACAUAUUCUUCAUGUGUUUAGUGGCAGUAGAUGUUUUCAGGAAUUUAAGCAAUUGCAUGACAAUUAGAAGAAACCUGCUAUAAUGUAUGAUGUGAAAGUAAAUGAAAUGUUCACAUUCAAGGUUAUUUAUAUGAAAA